rnacentral:rRNA from 1 species
UACGAAGGGGGCUAGCGUUGUUCGGAAUUACUGGGCGUAAAGCGCACGUAGGCGGGUUGUUAAGUCAGGGGUGAAAUCCCGGAGCUCAACUCCGGAACUGCCUUUGAUACUGGCAAUCUAGAGACUGGAAGAGGUUAGUGGAAUUCCCAGUGUAGAGGUGAAAUUCGUAGAUAUUGGGAAGAACACCAGUGGCGAAGGCGGCUAACUGGUCCAGUACUGACGCUGAGGUGGCGAAAGCGUGGGGAGCAAACAGG